CCAUUUUUGUCGGUUUUUUUGCCCCCACUCAGACGCUCUCUCUUUCGUUUAUUCAUUAUUCUCUAUUCACUUCUUCAUUAUUCUUCUAGAUUUUUCCAAUUCCUCCUCUGAAAUCCCCAAAAACACAUACUCAGACCUCCUCUAAUGAAAAUCCAAAUCCAAGCCUAGCGCCAUUUAGCAUUGCCCCAGACCUCCUCUAUCAUCAUCCUCAUUUCUCACCCCUGGCAUAGCGAUUUCCUCAAAGCUGAGGUUUGCACUGGCGAUUUCUGAUUUCAUUCUCUCAGAGGUAAAGGUUCUCCCCUUUUCUUCUCUUUUGUGCAGGAGAUUCGGAUCCGUGAAACAUCCGAGAGAUAUGGUGAAGAUAACCACUUCAUGUCAUAGAUCCGAGAAGCAUGAAGGUUCCAGAUCAGAAAAACAAGGUAAAAAAAAAACAAGGAAAUGACCGACCAAGAUCCCAACGCGCUGGCUCCGACGGCGACGGGGAUGAUCGUCGAUGAUACGUACGAGUUCUCAGCUCCGCGCUUCUUCGACUUCAUAAAGGACGACAGUGAAUACGACAGCGCAAGGCCGAGCUCUGGUACGAUUAGGGCUUUCUCAAGUCGGUAGAACUCCCAUUUUUCUGCUCCACUCGGUUCCCCCUCCAGAUCCGAGCCGGGUCUGGGUCGUCGGAUUUGCUCGAAUCCGAAAAUGUCAUACCCAUGAAGGCAAUUUCUCAUUUUCUUCGUCCAUUUAUAAUAUAUAUUGAAAAUUUAUGAGUGAUUUGAAUUUUGGGGUGUUUGAUUGUGUAGAUUACAGGGACCAGGAGAGUGGGAAGAUUCUGAAUUUGGUGUUUGUUUAGGCGGAUGAGGGCUCCGAGCUCAAAGUUGAUGUCCCUGUUGUAUCAUCCUUUCUGUGUGUGCGUGGGUGGAUAUUUACAGAAUGUGGAAAUGAAUUGGAAGGGGAAAUGGUAAGUUGAUAAUCACGUUGUGCGGGAAGGAAGGAAGGAACUGUCUCUAUCCCCUCUCUGGCUCAACUUGAAAGGGAAAGAAAUAAUUCAGAAAGUUUUUAUAUUUUUUUUAUUAUUGUUAUAUUUUCUGUCGGAUUUAUCCGACAAGAAUGCUUUUAUUUAUUCUUAUUCAUAAAUUUUCUGUCGGUUAUAUCUGACAGAACUUCUGUCGGUUUUAGCCGACAGAAAAUGCUCUAA